GACUCUCGGCAACGGAUAUCUCGGCUCAUGCAUCGAUGAAGAACGUAGCGAAAUGCGAUACUUGGUGUGAAUUGCAGAAUCCCGUGAACCAUCGAGUUUUUGAACGCAAGUUGCGCCCGAAGCCAUUCGGCCGAGGGCACGUCUGCCUGGGCGUCACAC
rnacentral:rRNA from 5 species